rnacentral:ncRNA from 1 species
UUACUGGUACGGUAGUACCACUUAGAGCGCGCGACGGCGGGACCUGCCACCCGGUGCGCCG